rnacentral:piRNA from 1 species
UGGGAAAGGAAAGCUGAUGUGUUAAUGUGU